AAUAGAACUUAAGUCUAGAAUAUACUAAAGUUAACAUCUCUCUUCUUCCUUCUUUUUCUUUUUACGCAGACUCCAUUUCUCUCUGUUCUCUCACCUGCGUCUCUCACUUUCCCUCUCCCUCUCGCCCGGCGACGUCGCCAGUCCUCGCCGCCUCCGGCGCGGCGAGGCCGGCGUCUCUCUCCCCUUCUUCUUCCUUUCCUUCCCUUUUCCCCAAUUCUUAAUUCAAAAUCAACCUAGGGUUUCUAAUUUUCCCCCCCUUCAACUCCAGUCAACCGGCGAGUUUCACUGCCACCGUUGUCCCCGUCGCACUGCCACCUACUCCAUCUCAGGUAAGCUUCUCUUUCUCCCUCUUUUUCUCUCUGUCUCUCGAUCUCUCUCUCUGCCUUCUCUGCGCUCUUAAUCUCGAUCUCUCUCUCUGCCCCUUUGCUUGCAGCGGCCGCUGCGAGCCGCAGCGGCGCAUGCAGCGCCGGCGGUCGCCGCCGCUCUGCUCUUCUCUCCCUGCCUCUAUCUCGCUCUACUUUCUCUCAUGUCCGUGUCUCUCUGUCUUUCUCUUACUCUCUCUCGCUCAAACUCUCUGUGCUACUGGCGGCCACCGCGGACCGCCGUGGCGUGGGCAGUGCCGGCGGUCGCUGCCGCCAGUCGCGCCUCCGUCGCGGUGGCUCGCGGUUGCUGCUGCUGCUGCCAUCCUUUCCCCUGUUCUUAUUAUUUUCCUUCUUCUUUUCUCUUUUUCUUUAUUUUCUAUUUCAAUAACCUAUUUCAGUUCUAAUACCUCAAACUAAUCAAUCCCUAGUUUUUCUAUUUCAGGAAUCCAUGAUUCAGGGUGUCUCUCGGAGUGGCUACUGCUCAAGAUCCGAUUUUUAUAUGUGAUAAAUCUAUUUCUUUAUUGUUAUUAAGAAAUUGGAACUGUGUUUAUGAAGUCAGAAUUGCAAAUGUGAUUAUAGUUAUUACUCAUCACAGUUCUUGGUUGCUGCCUUUAUGAUAUAAAGUUAACUGUAUUGAAAAGAAAGACUACCUUCUUUGAUGUCUGCUGUGGAUGAUUGUGUGUAAUUUGUGUGUUGGAUGGAUGUUUACUGGAGUAGUAGUUAAGAUUUUGCAGAAUGAAGAAAAUGGUUCAACGCUUGAGGGAUGAAGCUUAUACUGACUUGAGUCGGUUUGUGUGAGCAGCUGCGUGGAAGCUAAAUGCUACGUGUAUGAAGAAUAACUAAUCUGAAUUAAUAAUCUGAAUAAUUUAACUUACGCUAAUAAGGUUGACUAAUCUGCUUAAUGAAAGAAUGUUGGGUUUGGGCUUCCUCAUCAUUUCUUAAUAUUCUUAGCCCAACCAAAUAGCUAUUGUUUUUAUACUUAAAAACUGAAUUCAUAUACACAAAUUGGGCUCUGGCUACUUCACAUUCAAAUAAAAUUGCUAGCCAAAAUGCUAAGUAUUGGGCUUUUUUGCAUAAAAUCCUAUCAACCUUAAAAUCAUGAAAUACUCG
rnacentral:lncRNA from 1 species